GCAUAACGCGAAGAACCUUACCAGGUCUUGACAUCCCUCUGACCGGUCCGUAACGGGGCCUUCCCUUCGGGGCAGAGGAGACAGGUGGUGCAUGGUUGUCGUCAGCUCGUGUCGUGAGAUGUUGGGUUAAGUCCCGCAACGAGCGCAACCCCUAUUCUUAGUAGCCAGCAGGUAAAGCUGGGCACUCUGAGGAGACUGCCAGGGAUAACUUGGAGGAAGGCGGGGAUGACGUCAAAUCAUCAUGCCCCUUAUGAUCUGGGCUACACACGUGCUACAAUGGUGGCUACAAAGGGAAGCGACCCUGUGAAGGUAAGCAAAUCCCAAAAAAAGCCAUCCCAGUUCGGAUUGUAGUCUGCAACUCGACUACAUGAAGCUGGAAUCGCUAGUAAUCGCGAAUCAGAAUGUCGCGGUGAAUACGUUCCCGGGUCUUGUACACACCG
rnacentral:rRNA from 1 species